rnacentral:rRNA from 1 species
GAUGAACGCUGGCGGCGUGCCUAAUACAUGCAAGUCGAGCGAACGGACGAGAAACUUGCUUUUCUGAUGUUAGCGGCGGACGGGUGAGUAACACGUGGAUAACCUAGCUAUAAGACUGGGAUAACUUCGGGAAACCGGGGCUAAUACCGGGUAAUAUUUUGAACCGCAUGGUUCAAAAGUGAGAGACGGUCUUGCUGUCACUUAUAGAUGGAUCUGCGCUGCAUUAGCUAGUUGGUAAGGUAACGGCUUACCAAGGCAACGUUGCAUAGCCGACCUGAGAGGGUGAUCGCCCACGCUGGAACUGAGACACGGUCCAGACUCCUGCGGGAGGCAGCCGUCGGGAAUCUUCCGCAAUGGGCGCAAGCCUGACGGAGCAACGCCGCGUGAGUGAUGAAGGUCUUCGGAUCGUAAAACUCUGUUAUUAGGGAAGAACAUAUGUGUAAGUAACUGUGCACAUCUUGACGGUACCUAAUCAGAAAGCCACGGCUAACUACGUG